UGCCAGCAGCCGCGGUAAUACGAAGGGGGCUAGCGUUGUUCGGAAUCACUGGGCGUAAAGCGCGCGUAGGCUGACUAGCAAGUCAGGGGUGAAAUCCCGGAGCUCAACUCCGGAACUGCCUCUGAAACUGCUAGUCUUGAGACUCAGAGGGGAUAGGGGAAUUCCUAGUGUAGAGGUGAAAUUCGUAGAUACUAGGAGGAACACCAGUGGCGAAGGCGCCUAUCUGGAUGAGUACUGACGCUGAGGUGCGAAAGCGUGGGGAGCAAACAGGAUUAGAUA
rnacentral:rRNA from 1 species